CCCUUAGAUGUUCUGGGCCGCACGCGUGCUACACUGAGUGGAUCAGCGGGUCAGGUUGCGCGAAAGCGUUUCCUAAUCUUGAAAUCCGCUCGUGAUGGGGAUUGACGGUUGCAAUUUUCUGUCAUGAACGAGGAAUACCUUGUAAGCGCGGGUCAUCAUCCCGCGCUGAAUACGUCCCUGCCCUUUGUACACACCGCCCGUCGCUCCUACCGAUUGAGUGGUCCGGUGAGGCUUUGGGAUCUGAGCGGAAAGAGCGUUUCGCUCGUUCUGCCCGGAAAACUCAGUCGAACCUUAUCAUUUAGAGGAAGGAGAGGUCGUAACA
rnacentral:rRNA from 1 species